rnacentral:rRNA from 1 species
UGCAAGUCGGAUGCGCCGCAGGUGCAUGGCAGACGGGUGAGUAACGCGUGGGGAAUCUACCUUUUAGUGGGGAAUAACGCUCCGAAAGGAGUGGUAAUACCGCAUGAGACCGCGCCCUGGGAUGGGUGUGGUGAAACCUGGGGACCGCAAGGCCUGGGGCUAARAGAGGAUCCUGCGUCUGAUUAGCUAGUUGGCGGGGUAAUGGCCCACCAAGGCGACGAUCAGUASCCGGCCUGAGAGGGUGAUCGGCCACACUGGAACUGAGACACGGUCCAGACUCCUACGGGAGGCAGCAGUGGGGAAUUUUGCGCAAUGGGCGAAAGCCUGACGCAGCAACGCCGCGUGGGUGAUGAAGGUCUUCGGACUGUAAAACCCUGUCGUCAGGGACGAAGGUGCGCAUGUUAAUAGCAUGUGUACUUGACGGUACCUGGAGAGGAAGCCCCGGCUAACUCUGUGCCAGCAGCCGCGGUAAUACAGAGGGGGCAAGCGUUAUUCGGAAUUAUUGGGCGUAAAGGGCGCGUAGGCGGUUUUUUAAGUCAGAUGUGUAAUCCCCGAGCUUAACUUGGGAACUGCAUCUGAGACUGGAAGGCUAGAGUACUGGAGAGGGUGGUGGAAUUCCUCGUGUAGCGGUGAAAUGCGUAGAGAUGAGGAGGAACACCAGUGGCGAAGGCGGCCACSKGGACAGUAACUGACGCUGAGGCGCGAAAGUGUGGGUAGCAAACAGGAUUAKAUACCCUGGUAGUCCA